UGAAAUGUUUUAGUGUAGUGGUUCUCAAGGUUUGAUGUGCAUAAGAAUCACUUGGUACGUCUGGAAUGGGCCCAUGAAUUUGUUUUUGUUUUUUUUCUUUUUUUGGUACUGGGGAUUGAACCCAGGGGCACUUUACCACUAAGCUACAUCCCUAGCCCUUUUUAUUUUUUAUUUUGAGACAGGGUCUUGCUAAGUUGCUGAGGCUGGCCUUGAACUUGUGAUCCUCCUGCCUCAGCCUCUGGGAGUCACUGGGAUUACAGGUGUGCGCCACCAUGCCCGACUCUGAAUUUUGUUUCCCUAAUAAGCAGUCCGGUGACACUGAUGCUGUUCGUUGUUAAUGGCAUUUUGGGAUAUUAUAGUGUGUAUAGACUAUUAGGAAUUAAGUCAUAUUAGCUGUUGUUUCUGUGUUCAGCUUUGCUUGUCUAUAUCUUUGUAGAUUGGAAGCAAUUGAAAGCUAAGUGUGUGUGGGGAUAAUUGCAAAUGUUCCUUAAUUAGGAUUUUGUUUGUAAUAAUGUUGUGAAGGAUAAAUUACUGGGCAGCUAAAGUAAUACCUACUCCUUGGAAAAUAACUGAAAUGUGAACAUUAGUAUUUACCAAGUGACACUAAUUACAAUGCAAGAGGUAGAGUUCAUAGUAAAGCUUAAAUAGGGCUGAAAUGAACAUGGUAAUUAUUUUUCUACCAUUUCUGAUGUUUCGGCUAUCAUUUGGACCAUGAGUCUGCAAACUUUUUGUGUAAGGGCCAGAAAAUAAAUAUUUUAAGUUUUGUGGGCUAUAUUGUCUCUGUCAUAAUUACUCAACCUCUCCAUCAUAGCAGCAAAGCAGCUGUAGACCUUCCACAAAUGAGUGGAUCAGGCUGUGUUCUAAUAAACAAAUGUUUAAUUAUAGAUGUUUGUUUUGUUUACAAAAACAGCUGGUGGACCAGAUUUGAUUUGGGGCUUAGUUUGCUGACCCUUGAUUUAGACAUAAGAUGAUUUGUUGAAUGUAGGGAAGAUGGAAAAAAAAAAAAAACAACUUUUUUUUUUGAACAGGGGAUUCAACCCAGGGGCACUUUACCACUGAGCUAUGAAGGAAACGUGCUAUGAAGGUUAAGCAACGUGAAUCAAAGGACAUGCUAUGAGGCAACAUACAAUGAAUAGGGUCUUGCUAAGUUGCCAAGGCAGUCCUUGAACUUGGGAUCCUCCUGUCUCAGCCUCAUGAAUCAUGAAUCAUGUAUCCAACUACAUUAUAGAUAUGCACCACUGCAUUGAGUGUGGAUACUGAUUUAUUUAUUUAUUUUGUUACUGGGGAUUGAACCCAGGGGUACUUAACCACUGAGCUACAUCCCCAUUCCCCCCUUCCCGCACUUUAAAUUUUAUUUUGAGAUAGGGUCUCAUUAAGUUGCCCCUGCUGGUCUCCAAAUUGUGUUCCUCUUGCCUCAGCCUCCUGAAUUGCUGGUAUAUAGGCAUGCACCACUAUGCUGGCUUAUUUUAAUUUUAAUAUGUCUGAAUUAACUCCAUUUUAUGAACCUGCACAGGCUUAGGGAUGUUCUGUUUGUCUGCAAUCCACGUUGGAAGUAUGUUGAUUGAAGAUGAGCUCAGGACAUGAUCUUUGUUUCACGUUGCUCACCUUCAUAGCAUGUUGCCUGUUGGCCUUGCACAUCUGUAAGCAUCAGUUUGUCUAUAUUCGGUUUGGAUUAAUGGUUUGCUUGUCUGGUUCCUCCAGUUAGACUGUAAACUCAGUGAGGGGAUAGACUAUAUCUUAUUUAUUUCAGGGUCCGUGGUAUUAGAUGUUUAUUUAAUGAACGAAUUGGUGAGUAAUGGCUGCAUUCUGAUACUUUCUUAUCUUUUUGUUUUGAUGUGAUAAAUACUGCUUAUAGUUUCAGUGAAACUAUUUCUAAAUCUGCCUCUGGUGUUUAGCCAUCUCUUCCUGUGGCUUCAGUAGAAUUUUAAUUUGGUUAAUUGUGUGUUUUCUCAAUGUUUUUGACCUAUUAGAAAAGUAGUGUUUGCUGGGCUGGGGAUGUGGCUCAGUGGUAGAACGGCUCACCUCACACGUGCGAAACCCUGGGUUCAAACCUCAGCACCACAUAAAAAUAAAUAAAGUAUUGUAUCCAACUACAACAAAUAAAUAAAUAAAUAAAUAGAAAAGCAGUAUAUGCAAAUUAACAGAACUCUAAGUAUAACAGAAAGUGAAAGUAAACCUAUAAAAUUCUGCGACCUGUAACCUAAAUAAUAUGUGAAAACAAUGAAAAUACUUUCUUCACAUCUUUGGGUUGUUGGUGCUGAGGAUCGAACCCAGGGCUUCACACAUGUGAGGCAGGCCCUCUACCACUGAGCUACGUACGGCCCCAGCCCCACAUAUCUUUGUUUUUUACUUUAUUCAGUUAACCCAUUUUGUUUCACCAUCCCAGAUGUGGAAUACCCCUAAAAACUUACACUUAGCAACAGAUAUACCACUUCUGGUAACUUUGAAAUAAUUAAGUUCCAGAAAAAAAACUUGGAAAUUCAUGGGUUAAUAUAUAUUUGAGCCACUUCCCAUAUUGAUUAUAUAAAUAUACUUUCUUCUUUUACAAGGCUUUUGUAAGCAUUCCAGAUUCAGGUUAUGAAGAGGUGGUAAUUUAUUAGUCUCUUGUUAAAUACCUCAUAAACACCACCCUGUCUCCCAGAAGUUGCACAGGCAUUUAUUUUAUUCAGGAGUAUCUAAGAAAGAGUACCAAAUAAUCAGAACCAGCUGAUACCAUCUUGAUCACCUGAGAAUUCAAGUCUGCCCAAUAAGCUCCCAAGUCAAAGUGAUGUUAAGCAUUUUUUUUUUUUCCCAAUCCUUAAAAAAAAAAAAAUUGCAGGCUGGGGAUAUAGCUCAGCUCAGUUGGUAGAGUGCUUGCCUUGCAUGCACAAGGCCCUGGACUCAAUUCCCAGCACCAUACACACACAAAAAAAAUAUUUUGAAAAAUUUGAAAUCUACAAGAAAUUGAAGGAAUACUACAGUGAAUACACCACCCAUCUAGCAUUUACCUAAUUGUUACAAGUUUUUCACAUUUGCCUUAUCCCUCUUCUAUAUAUGUGUGCAUUUUUUACAGAAUCAUUUGAAAAUGUUAAGUAAAGACAUGGCAGUUCACCUUUAAAUAUUUUAGAAUGUAUGUUUUAAGAAUAAGGACAUUUUCCUGCAUAAGCAUUAAAAAUAUUAUAUAUAAAAUCCCUAUGCAGAAUUUUCUCUAAUUGUUCCAAAAAUAUUUAUGACUUUAAAUCUUGUGUCCAGUUGGGAUUCAUGCAUUACAUUUGCUUGUCCAGUCUCUUUAAUCUCCUGUAAUGUAUAAAAAUUCCCUUGCUUUCUUUGUCUUACAUGGUAUUGAUAUUUUUAAAUAAUCCAGGCCAUUUUUAUAGAAUUGAAUGAAUUUUUAAGGAAUUAGCAGAGUAGGAAUCUUGAUUAUUUCCAGAUUGCGCUUGCGCGCGCACUCUCUCUCUCUCUCUCUAUAUAUAUAUAUGUAAAUAUAUAUAAUUUUACUGCCUAGAUCGUGUGAACUGUUUCAGGUUGUGACUCAAAGCCACCUAGCAGAAAAUAAUGGAAGUGGUGGGUUGUGGUCUACCAAGGGCUAGUUUGAUCAAAAUUUUGUCUGUAGUAAGGGACAAAAGACACACUAGUUGGGCUGGGAUUGUGGCUCAGUGGUAGAAGGCUUGCCUCACAUGUGUGAGGCACUGGUUUGAUUCUCAGCACUGCGUAUGAAUAAAUGAAUAAAAUAAGGUCUAUCAACAACUAAAAAUAUAUAUUUAAAAAUUAUUUAAAAAGACAUCAGUUAUUGAACUCACAUUUCUCAUUUUUCCUUUUCAAGGAUCUCUAGUGAUCCUGUGAGAUCCUUUGGAAUUUUCUUAGCCUAAGUUUUCCCUCAUGUAUUAAGGAAAAGCUUGUGUGCAGAAUGGGUUGGUAGUUUUUUUUUUACGAUUUUGAAAUUUCUUUUGAUGAGCCAUCAAGGUUCAAGUUUUAUUUUAUGUGAUUAUGUGAUUAUGCUACUUAUUUGAAAAUAAGAAAUAUUUUUUGAGUUCUGGAUACAUUUGUGUGCCCUUACUUAGGUUUACCAGAAGUUUACCGAUAAGCAGGGAAUAUUUUGGGGGUAUGCUACAGGGUUCCUUCUCUGAUAAAAGUUGUUCUGGUAUGUUCAACAUUUUAUAUAGAGAAACAUGUAUUGGUACUUAGUGUUAGACCUGGGAUGGAUGGAAUAGAUACAUUCAUCUCUAUUUUGAAUUCUGGAUUCGAACUGCUUUCCUUAAGCUUUUCCUGAUAUCAUCUGUUAGUGUUGAUCAUUGCCUAAUUAGAGGUAGAAUUUAUAUUGUUUUUUAUGCCUGGGAUUUCCUGUUGCCAUAAAACAAUGUGGACUCCUUUAUAGUGUUCUGUGUUUUUAGUACUUUAAUACUGAAAUACUGUGUUUUUGUUUGUGACUCUGGUUUUAUCACUGAUGAAUUUUAACUUUAAGAGUAGUGAGUGGUCAUUCCAGCACUCACUUUCAGGCAUAUCUGCAAUCAUCUCAUUCUGUUUUGUUAUGAAAUGAGGCUCAGAGAAAGUUGUCACUUAAAGCUAUUACCAUUUAUUUAUACCUCAUCUGUUGAUAAGAGAGCUAGUUCAGCUUUUAAGAUCUUUUCUUCUCAGUUAGAAAGCUCAGUUGAAAAUGUAUAGAAUACCUAAAGUAUUAGAAAAGUUUGUAAAAGAAAUAGAGACUACAUUUGAUGUAUCCUUACAUUAAAACCAACAGUUUGCAAAUAAAGGAAAAAGCAAAGGGAGAAGUGAGGAAAUAAUUGUUGAAUUCUUCCAAUUAAUUUUUAUGCACAACUCCUGCACUUGCCAGCAGUUUUCUAACUAUUUAUAUCACCAUUAAAUACUGAGAAUGAGGAAAGGCAAAAGCUCAGAUUUAGAUAGAGCCUGUUAUUUGAAGGUAAAUAGCAGAAUCCAUUUGAUAUUUGACAGGUACACAGCAAACAGUGGCCUUUUGUCUCUUUAAAAUGCAAAUUAGGCUGAGUGUUGUAGCAUAGACUUGUAAUCCCAGCAGCUCUGGAGGCUGAGAAAGGAGAGAGGAUCACAAGUUCAAAGCCAGGUUUAGCAAUUUAGUGAGACCCUUUCUCAAAAUAAACUGGGGAUAGGUCUCAGUGGUUAAGUAACCCUGAGUUAAAUCCCUGGGACCAAAAAAAAAAGAAAGUUUAAAAUGCAAAUUAAAUCAUGUCACUCUCUUGCUUGGUCCUUGCCUAUUUCUCUAAAUUAUUCUCUUUGCAUUUUCUUGUGGUCUUUGAAUAUCUUUUAGCUUAUGGUCUGUUUCUCAAACACCUCAGACUUCAGGAUACACUUCAGGGUCAUUGCACUUGGUAGUCCUGUUGCCUGGAAAACUGGUAACUUGGCAUUUGGGUUUCUGUCCAACAGUGUUUUCAGUGAUGCUUUCACUAUGUGUUAUCUUUUUGUCACUGGGACAAAAUACCUAAGAAGGAGGAAAAAUUUAUUUUGGUUUAUGGUUUUGGUUCAUGAUUGACUGGCUCCAUUGCUUUGUGUCUGAGUCAAGGCAAAACAUCAUAGUAGGUGGUGGAGGAAAGCUGGGAAGCAGAGAGUGAGCAAAAAUAUACCCUUCUAGGACAUGUCCCCAGUGACCCACUUUCUCUAUGUAGGUCCCACCUCCCCAAUAGUGGCAUCAUUUUACAAUUUUGUUAAUGAGUUAAUCCACUGAUAAGGUUAGAGCCCUCUUGGAUCCAAUUGCUUUCUGAAAGUCCCAUCUCUGAACAUUGCUGUACUGGGGACCAAGCCUUCAACAUAUGAACCUUUGGGAGACAGUCUAGAUCCAAACCCUAACAAACUACUAAUCUAAUUUCACAGCAUCAUCAUCAUCAUUUUUUUUUCUUUUGUGGUGCUGGGGAUUGAACCCAGGGCCUUGUGCAUGCAAGGCAAGCACUCUACCAACUGAACUAUAUCCCCAGCUUCUAAUUCCACAGCAUUAUAAUAGUUUUAGUUUUUUUGUUUCAUAGCCCUAUUAGUAUCCCAAAUUACCUUGACUGUUUCAUUUGAUUACUUAUCAUUGGCAUCCUACUAUUAGAUGCUAUGUAAGUGCAGGGACUUUGUUUUUUCACAGUAGCUUAUGUCAUGUCUGGCACACAAUAGUUACUUAAUAAAUAUCGACUAAAUGAAAAUAUGGUGUUACCAAAAUGUUAAGCCAGCUCAUUCUCAUUUUCAUCUUGCUUUCAUAUCAGUUUUGUUAUAGAAUGUGUAUGUUUUGGGUUAUUUUUUUUCUCUUGCUUGGCAAGUUAAUAUCUAAGAGUGCAGUUCUACAUAAAUUUGUGAAAGAAUCUGCUGACUUUAGAAAUCUUUCUUUCUCAGGCUAUGGCUAUAAUCUGGUUCCUUUUAAUUGCUGAAGGGAAAAAAAAACAGCCAUUGGGAAGUUUAAAAAUUUUAGGUAUUUUGUUUGUUUAUUUUUGGUGCCAGGGAUUUAACCCAGGGGUGCUUACCCAUUGAGCCAUAUCCCUGGCCCUUUUUAAUUUUGAGACAGGGUCUCGCUAAGUUACUUAGGGCCUUAGUUGCUGAGGCUGGCUUUGAAUUUGCAAUCCUUCUUCCUCAUCCUCCGCAGAUGCUGGAUUACAGGUGUGGGCCACCACACCUGGCUAGGUAUAUAAAAUAUAUUAUUCAUUUUAGAGUUUUGAAUUUUUAAAAAAAUAUUUUUUAGUUGUAUAUGGAUUUUUUUAUUUUACUUAUUUAUAUGCAGUGUGAGGAUCGAACCCAGGGCCUCACAUAUGCCAGCAAGUGUAAUAUCACUGAGCCACAACUCCAGCCGCAAAAGUUCUGAAUUUUAAUCACUUCUUUUCUCUCUCUCUCUCUCUUUUUUUUUUUGCCAGAUGUCCCUAGGGGAUGGAACCUAGGAUCAUUCUAACUCUUGAGCUACCACACAGCCCUUUUUAAAAUUUUAUUUUUGAGGCAGGGUUCUUGCUAUAUUGCUGAAGCUGGCCUCAAACUUAUGAUCUUCCUGCCUCAGCUUCCCCAAAUAGCUAGGAUUACAGGCGUGUCCCACCACACCAAGCUGAACUUUAAUCAUCUUGUCAAAAAAUUAAAAAAAAAAUAAAAAAUAAAGAAGUUUUACUUUGAAUUAAUAGUUUUAAGUAAUGUCUUCUGGAGUGUAUGUAGAGCUUAUUUUUUAUUUUUUUGCGGUGCUGGUGGGGAUUGAACCCAGGGCUUUGUGCAUGCAAGGCAAGCACUCUACCAAGUAAGCUAUAUCCCUAGCCCUAGAGCUUAUAUAUUUGUAAUGUUUAGAGUCCUAGAAUGUUAGUGGUGGAGGAAAUCUUAAGUCAUCCAGUCCAUUUUAAUUUUACAGAUAGAAUACUGAGCAAAUGAUAGAUUAAAUGAUUUAUCUGUGACCAUUUUUUUGUGUGUGUGUGAGAAAUCAUGAGGGUGAGGUGGCACUAGAACCCUAGGAACCUUCAAGUUUGAUUUCUUUUUGUUGUGUCAAUUUGGAAUAAAAAGUUUGUCUUCAGGUUUUCAUCUUUUGGAGUAUCUUAUCAUUGUCAAGCAGAAGUAGCUUUUGGGGUCCUUAAAUCUUUUGUAAUGCCUGGUUGAUUUGAAUUUCUAAGCUGUUCACAAAUUGGCAUUUUUGUUGGCUCUCCUCCCCUUCUGUGCCAGAAUGAGUGAUACAUGGUGGGGCUAAGAGCACAGGAAUAGGAGUCAAGGUCUGGGUUCCAGCACAGUACCUCAUGUGUCAUUGGAUAUCUCCAUUUACACUUCUUGUCUCCAAUACUGCAGAGUUAAAAUUGUUCAUUUAAAAAAGUACAAAACCCUUUUAUCUCAUGAAAUGGAAAUUUAAAUUAUAAGUAAUGACUGUGAAAUUGUUGUGGUGGAUACAAGCAUGAGAGUUCAGCUUUAUGUCUCUUCUGGUUCUGCCAUCCCCAUUCCCCAAGCACCUAAGCUGCCAUCUUUGGAUCUCGAAGCUCUAUUGAAAACCUCCUAGGCUAAAAAUGGUCAGAGACGUUCCCAUAUUCCCAGUUUAGCAUCUAAACUGUUUUGUGUGAAAAGUAAGGCAUCAAUGGAUAUUUUCUUUCCAGUUCUUUUGUAAUACAUUUGGCAUUUACUGAAGGCUGACUCUUUUAUUAUAAACCCUAUUCCACUUGUUGGUGUUGGAGGUCUGUACAGAAUGCCAGUUAGUAUAGCAACACCUUUUGCUCUAGUUAAUCACAGAAGCAGUUUGUCUUUGGAAGCUUGGACCCUCAUUUGGUAAGAAGUCCCUUACCUGUUUGAGUAAUUUGGAUCAAGGUACAUUUGGAUCUGCCUUUCAAAGAAGAUAUAUUCUAUUUUCAGAAUUCCCAGCCAUAUCAGAGAGAAGAGUGAACUUUAUUGUUUUAGAGCUCUGGAACAGUAUGGUUUUAGGCCUAAAAAUGAGUUUCCUUUUGUCCUUCUACCUCCUGAUGUCCUGAGCCCUCUGGGAACAAAAUGAUGAAGCACUGAAAUGAUUUUGUGGUGGCCCAAGGGAAAGGGGCAGGGUGAUAAUUUCAGGGUUGCUAAAGUGAUUUUUUUUUUUUUUUUUGGUGGGGAGGGGAGGGUACCAGGGAUUGAACUCAGGGGCACUCAACCAUUGAGCCACACCCCCAACCCUAUUUUGCAUUUUAUUUAGAGACAGAGUCUCCCUGAGUUGCUUAGCUACUCGUUUUUGCUAAGGCUGCCUUUGAGCUUGCGAUUCUCCUGCCUCAGCCUCCCAAGCCGUUGGGAUUAUAGGUGUGUGCCACCACGCUGGCUAUUUUUAAAAUAAAAUGGUCAUAUACACUUUUUUUAAGUGUGAUUUUUAAAGCACCAGGAUUCUAGGGAGAAGUUUAACUUUAUUAAAAGUUAUUAUCAAAAUAUUUAAUUAUUUUUAUGUAGGGAAAAAGAUGUGCAAAUUAUUGCACCAUAUUCUAGGCUUCCUUGGUAUUGUGUUUGAAAAAACGUUUAAGCUAUUCUUUGUGUUAGCCAGUGUAGAAACUGCAUAUGAUGUUUCAGUUCUUCAGAUCAGACUUUAGGGAGAGGUAUCUGAGGACUUUCUUUUUAGUCUAAGAAAGUUGUUUCUUCUAGCUUAGCUAAAUCUGAAUAAAAGAUGGGGACUGAUAUUUAAUUGAGUGCUAGCCAUAUUUCAGACAGGUGUAGUGGUCUUCGUAGUGCUUCUCUUGAAGCAUAGAUGUUUCCAACUCCUGUACUAAAGAGAAACUGGCCUGAAAAGCUUAAGUGGUACGAAUUCAUAUUUUUAGUCAUUUGAGAGAUUAACACAUGGAGGACAGGUUAGGAGGUCAAAGUAACAGGUUUGAGUUUGUCUUGAAAAGUUUGAGAAGCAUGCUCAUGCUCAAGGUUCAGAAAGCAUAACUUUACUUACAUCUUUGUACAUCAUGAAACAGGAGAGGAAUAAGCAAAAAGAUGUAUAUUUUCUUUUGAGAUGCUUUCUUGAUUCACUGGUAAAAAAUGGGCUUUAAGUGUCAACUAAUCCUUCUAUUUUAGUCUUUUUAAAAAACAUUUUUUAGUUAUACAUGGACACAAUAUCUUUAUUUUGUUUAUUUAUUGUUAUGUGGUGCUAAGGAUCGAACCCAGUGCCUCAUACCUCAGAGGCAAGUGCUCCACAACUGAGCUAUAACCCCAGCCCUCCUUUUAAAAAAAAAAAAAAAUUGUUUUUAGUUGUUGAUGGACCAUUAUUUUGUUUACUUAUUUAUAUACAGUGCCAAGAAUCUAACCCAGUUUCUCACACGUGCUAGGCAAGCACUCUAAUGCUGAGCUACAACUUUAGCCCCUAGUCUUCUCUUUUGAGAUAUAUAUGACUCUUCAUGCCAGUUUUUCUUUGGAAAGAUGUAUGUCACGACAAUUUACUUUUGAAACGUUUGCUUUUUUUUUUUUUUUUCUUGGUCUGUAUUUCCAGUGCCACCAUCAGAGCCUAUCUUAUCUUAUUACUCAGUAGCUCCUGUGUGAUCUGUUGCUUUUACUUUGUUCCCUUUUAAGCUUCUUUGUAUUCCACUCAGCAGCUGGAAGGUUUUCUUUCAAAGCACAAUUUGAUCCUGACAUUUUUUUGUUUGGUACUUGUCAGUGGUUUCCCAUGGCAUUUAUUAAAAAAAAAAAAAAUCUAAACCUUGCUUGACCACCCUUUUCUUUCAGUUGACUUCCUUAAUUAACUUACUUCCAGUUUUAGGGUUUGGCAUUGCAGACUUCCACUUUUUGCCUGUCUUGAAUCUCAACUUCAGGACUGACAAUUUAUAUCAUUUCUUCAAAGGAGCUUUCUCUUAUCUCUAAAUAAUAUUUUCCUGUUGUGUCUAAACUUCUUAUUUAUAAGUAUAUAAUUACACAUGCAAUUUGAGUGAUUGUCUUAUGUUUCUCCUAACUAGGCCUUCGAGACAGAGUAUCUGUAUUUUGACUUGGCUAUAUCUCUACCAUCUUUUAUAGAAGGUGCUUAAUAAAUGGUUAUUGAAUAAACGCAGUGGAAAAACACAUAGAGGAAAGAUUGCUAUCACAGCAAGUUAAAACAAACCAUUGAAUUGGUUCAGGAUAGAAAUGUUUAGACUUUUUUAAGAGAGAGAGAGAGAGAGAGAGAGAGAUUUUUUUUUUUUUAAUAUUUAUUUCUUAGUUUUCGGUGGACACAACAUCUUUGUUUGUAUGUGGUGCUGAGGAUCGAACCCGGGCCGCACGCAUGCCAGGCGAGCAUGCUACCACUUGAGCCACAUCCCCAACCCCAAGAAAUGUUUAGUUUUAAGAUGAAGUUGUAUAGUAUGGAUUGUUUAUUAGGAUCAUUUUUUCAUGAAAUGGAGUAUGGAGUGUUUGAAAACCCUGAAAUAUAUUUUUUUAAUCUUAAAAAUUAAUUUUUAGUGUUGCUUUUGAGUGCCAUAUUGAUUACUGAAUUUUUUUUUCUUUUCUUUUUUUUUUUUUUGGUGGGGGCGGGUACUGGGGAUUUAACCAAGCCAGGGUACUAUACCAUUGAGGUACAGCCCCAGUUUUUCUUGAGACAGUGUCUCACUAAGUUGCUUAGGGCCUCUGUUUUAGUCAGCUAUUUUACCGCUGUGACUAGAGGACCCGAAGAGAACAAUUUUAGGGAAGAAAAGUUUAUUUGAGAGUUCAGGGUUUCAGAGGUCUUAGUCCAUAGAAUGCUGUCUCCAUUCCUCAGGGUUCAAGGUGAGGCAGAACAUCAUGGCAGAAGAGUGUGGCAGAGGAAAGCAGCUCACAUGAUGUUCCAGAAGCAAAGAGGGGUCUCCAUUUGCCAGAUACAAAUAUAUACCCCAGAGCCAUGCCUCCCAAUUUCCACCUCCUCCAGCCAUAUCCUACCACUUCAGUUACCACUCAGUUAAUCUCUGUCAUGGGAUUAAUUCACUGAUUGGGUUAAGACUCUCAAAUCCAACUAUUUCUCCUCUGAACCCUUCUUGCAUUGUCUCACACAUCAGCUUUUGGGGGACACUUCACAUCCAAACCAUAACAGUCUUGGUAAGUUGCUGAGACUAGCUUUGAAUGAGUGAUCCUCCUACCUCAGUCUCUCAAGAUGUGGGGAUUACAGGUGUGUGCCACUGUGCCUGGCUUGCUUCCCAAUCUUUUGUAUGUUUCUCUUCCUGCUCCCCUUUCCUGUUUUUUCUUCUAGACAACUUUUAAAAUCUUUUCCAUGAUUAUGUACAUUGGUGUGGGUGUUGAUUGACUCACUAUACAAUUUGGGUUAGGGAUUUGUGUUCUCUGGUCUAGGAAAUAAUUUUUUACAUUUUUUUCUGGGUGGCCGAUACCUAGCUGUUUUUUGUUUUUUAUUUAAUUUUUUGGUUGUAUAUUGACACAAUACCUUUGUUUCUUUUUUUAAUUUUUAUGUGGUGCUUUUUGAGGAUCAAACCCAGGGCCUCACAUGUGCUGGGCAAGUGCUCUACCACUGAGCCACAACCCCAGCUCCCCUAGAUGUUUUUUUUUUUCUUUUGAUUCUAUCAAUAUUUAACCUUACGUUAGAAAUCUUUUAUAACACAAAAAUUUUAAAUAUGAUUUAAAUAUGUAGCUCAUGCUUUUUUGUGCCUUGUUUCGUUAUUUUUUAAAAAAUUUUUAUUUUAAUUAGUUAUACAUGAUAGCAGAAUGCAUUUUGAAUCAUUGUACACAAAUGGAGCCCAGCUUUUCAUUUUUCUGGUUAUAUAUGAGGUAGAGUCACACCACAUGUGCAGUCAUAUAUGUACCUAGGGUAAUGAUGUUCAUUUCAUACCGCCAUCUUUUCUACCCCCAUGUUCCCUCCCUCUCCCUCCCUCCCCUUUACCUAAGUUUCAAAGUUCCUCUAUUCUCCCCAUGUCCCCCACCCCCACCUCCAUUAUGGGUCAGCAUCCAUUUAUCAGAGAAAACAUUCAGCUUUUGGCUUUUGGGGAUUUUUUACUUUGCUUAGCAUCAUGAUAUUCUCCAACUCCAUCCAUUUAUCUGCAAAUGCCAUCAUUUCAUUCUCAUUUAGUGCUGUGUACUAUUCUAUUCUGUAUAUAUACCGCAUUUUUUUUUAUCCAUUCAUUGAUUAAAGGGCAUCUAGGUUGCUUCUACAGUUUAGCAAUUGUGAAUUGUGCUGCUAUAAACAUUGAUGCAGCUGUGUUACUGUAGUGUGCUGAUUUUAAGUCUUUGGGUAUAGACCGAGGAGUGGGAUAGCUGGGUCAAAUGGUGAUUCCAUUCCCAGUUUUCUGAGAAAUCUCCAUUCUGCUUUCCAGAUUAGCUGCACCAUUUUGCAGAUCCAGCAGCAAUGAAUGAGUGUACCUUCCCCCCCAUCCUUGCCAGCACUUAUUGUUGCUUGUAUUCUUGAAAACUACCAUUCUGACAAGAGUGAUAUGAAAUCUUGGAGUAGUUUUGAUUUGCUGUGCCUUGUUUCUUUCACAUCUCAGUCUUACUCAAAUGUUGGUGAUCCUUGGUUGAGGAUUAAGCUUAAGAGAGUUAGGCUGUUACUGGUUGAAAAUUCAGUGCAUUGUGGUUUUGUGGCCUUACUUGUCUAUUGCAGAAGUGGGGAAGUGGUUGCUUUUUAGAUGCUUGGUGCUGGAGUAAAAGUAUCUUACUUCUAUUGCAGACUGUUAACAAUCUCCCAUGUUUUCAACCUUUAUCCCCUAUACCUCAUCCUUGUCUGUCCUGGUCUCUGGUUUGGGUUUUGAACUUGUCUGCAGCCUGGGGAUCAGUGGUGGAAGGCAUAUAUCUACUUGGUUCUUUUCAGGAUUUCAGAUUGCAGUACUUAGAUCUAUUGUUUGCUUUUAACUUUUUCUCUUUUGCUUCUCCAUCUGUCAUCAAAGACUUUCAAGGUAUAUUGCAACCCUGGAUAUUCCUCUUAGAUCAUCAGACUUGUAUAUCCAGUUACUUUCUCAGUGUCUCUCUUUGAUUAUGUAAUGGUAUCUCAGAAUUAUACAAAACCAAUCUCUUUUUUUAAAAAAACCCUAAAUGUUUUCUUGUUUUGCUUAUAUAAAUAAAUGGGAACUCCACCUUUUUUUUCCCCCCUAAGGAAAGUAAAAGAACACACAAAACUUAUUACAUGCAUAAAGCAUGGGAGUACUAGACUCCAAACUCCAGUUUAAGUUGCUUAGAUCAGAAACCUUGGUACCAUCAACCUACUCCCUCUGACACUAUACUAUUUUAGGCCACUAUAAUCUCUUUCCUAAAUUACUGUAGUCUUCUUGGUUUCUUUCUUGACACUCUCUUCAAAUACUGUCAUUCAGAUCAUGUCACUACUCAGACCCCUCCACCAGCAUCCAUAGAGUGGCUUGCAAUGCCAUUAUUUCAUCUGUCUCCCAGCCCCUUUGACCUCGCUCUCUUCCCCUGGUUCAUUCAGUUCUUUAAAUGCCCUGGCCUUUUAGUGAUCUUUGUGCAUGCUAGUAACUAUUCCUCUCAGGGAUUUUGCCAUUGCUGUUUCAUAUGAAAUGCCUUUCUCUCAAAUACCUUACCUGCAUGACUUAAUUCCAAACCUCUUUCAAGUCUUUGCUCAAAGUGUACCCUGUCCCCUCCAUAUCCACAUGGUGUGCUUUAAAAAAUAUUAUUUAAUGAAAUACAUCAUACUUUGGGGUGUGUGCUGUCUUGUGUGAUUUCACGGCAUGUCCUUUUUACAUUUAGUGCAUUUGGUUGUUUCUGGUUCUUUUUUUUUUAAUAUUUAUUUUUUAGCUUUAGGUGGACACAAUAUCUUUAUUUUUAUGUGGUGCUGAGGAUCGAACCCAGUGCCUCACCCAUGCCAGGUGAGUGCGCUACUACUUGAGCCACAUCCCCAGCCCCCCCCCCUUUUUUUAAUAUUGUUUUAAUUGUAGUUGUACAUAAUACCUUUAUUUUAUUUAUUUUUAUGUGGUGCUGAGGAUUGAACCCCUGCCUCACAUGUGCUAGGCAAGUGCUCUACCACUGAGCCACAACCCCAGCCCCUGUUUCUGGUUCUUGAUAUAACUGACAGUGCUGCAUUGAGUGCUUGUCUUCUGGUGCAUUCAUUAACUUCUCCAGGGGGUGUAUGUUGCUGGGAAUGGGACUGAGAAGUAGUUUUUGCCCUGAUUGUCACUACUCUGUAGUCCAGCUUGUUUUCUAAAUGAUUGUAUAGAUUUAUACUCUUAUUAGUAGUAUAUGAGAAUUCUGUUGUUUCAUAUACUGAGUAUGGAGGGUGUAAAAUAGUUAUCUUGUUUUUUCCCUUUUUUAAGUUGCCACAGUUUAUAUACUGAAAAAUUCAUUCUUUUUAGUGUAUAAGUUUACUGCCUAUGAGUUUUUUAAAUCAAUUUGAUUCUUCCUUUCUUUUUUUUAAAAAAUUUACUUAUUCUAAUUUAUUACAUAUGACAGCAGAAUGCAGUUCAAUUCAUAUUACACAUAUAGAGCACAAUUUUUCAUGUCUGGUUGUAUUUCCCUCCAUUUUUUAAUUGAUGCAUUACAGCUAUAAAUAAUGGUGGAAUUUGUUGUUAUAUAUUUGUACACAUACACGGUAUAACAAUGUGAUUUGGCCAAUAUCAUUCCCCAGUAUUUCCCCCUUUCCUUCCCCUGGGCCCUUUCCUCUGUUCCACUAAUCUCUCUUCUUUGAUUUUCGCUGCCUUUCUUUUUCUUCUCUAGCUUUCACAUGUGAAAGAGAACAUAAUAAGCCUUGGCUUAUUUUGCUUAACAUAAUGUUCUCAAGUUCCAUCCAUUUUCCUGCAAAUUACAUUAUUUCAUUUUUCUUUAUAGAUGAAUAAAACUCCUUUGUGCAUAUAUACCACAUUUUCUUUAUCUAUUCAUCUUUAUCAUAAGUACCCAGGCUGGUUCCAUAAUUUAGCUAUUGUGAAUUGUGCUGCACAGAUGGGUCAAAUGGUGGUUCCAUAUCUGAUCUCUUUUUCCGCUCCCCCAAAUAUAUUUUUUUAGUUGUUGAUGGACCUUUAUUUUCUUUGUUUAUAUGUGAUGCUGAUAAUUGAACCCAGUGCGUCACACAUGCUAGGCAAGUGCUCCAUCACUAAGCCACAACCCCAGCCCGCACUAUGCCUAGUCUUUCGAGAAGCCUCCAUACUGAUUUCCUUAUUGGUUUUGUUUACAAUCCUACCAGCAGUGUGCACAUCUUCUCCAGCAUUUAUUAUUGUCCUAUUCUUGAUGACUGCCAUUCUGACUUGUGUGAGAUGAGAUCUUUGUGUAGUUUUGCUUUGCAUUUCCCUAAUUGCUAAUGUUGUUCAAAAAAUUUGUUGACCUUUUGCAUUCUUUUGAGAAAUGUUUAUUGGGAUAUAUUUGUCUCAUUUGAUUACUUUAGUUCAAAUUUGUUUUGACAUUUAUUUAUUUUUAAAUGAACUUAGGCUGGGCUAGUUAAGCCUUACUAGCCAAAUUAGAAUUGUAUGCAACUUCUUUUUUUUUUUUUUUUUUUUUGGCGGUGCUAGGGAUUGAACCCAGGGCCUUGUGCAUGCAAGGCAAGCAUUCUAACAACUGAGCUAUAACCCCAGCCCAAAAUUGUAUGCAACUUUUAUUCUUAUGGUGCUGGAAAUUGAACCCAAGGCCUUGUUCAUGGUAGGUAAGUGCUCUACCACUGAGCUACACACCCAGCCCCUUAUUUGAUAUUUUAGCAGUGCAGUUUAAAUGUAUGCUGUAUAUGACUUGAAUGCAAUUAGGAUGAUAAAUGAUGGUGCUAGCAUACUUCCUCUUCCCCUUGAAAAUUCAGCUGUACAUUUAUUAAAGUAAAAUCCACCAUAUUUGGUGUAUAAUCUUGUGUUUUGACCAACAUAGAGAUAAAUACUCAACAUCAUAAUUCCAUCACCCUGUAGUUCCAUUAUCCCAAAUAUCUGUCCAUGUAAUUCUUUGUUUUUAUUUGUCUUUUUAAAAUAUUUUUUAGAUGUUAAUGAGCUUUAUUUUAUUAAUUUAUUUGUGGUACUGAGAAUUGAACUCCUUGCCUCACACAUGCUAGGCAAUUGCUGUACCACUGAGCCACAACCCUAGCCCUUAGAGUGUGUUUUGACAUGUUAUACCCACAUGGAGUAUAACUUCUCAUUCUUGUGGGCUGUACAUGAUAUGGAGUAACACUGGUUGUGUUUUCAUAUGUGAACAUAGGAAAGUUAUGUCCAAUUCAUUCUACUGUCUUUCCUAGUCUCAUCCCGUCCCCUCAUUUUUCUUUUCCUUCAUUCUCCUUUCUCUAAUCCAAUGAACUUUUAUUAUUCUUUUUCUUUUGGUACUGGGGAUUGAUCCCAGAGGUACUAACCAGUGAGCCACAUCCCCCGCCCUUUUUUGUAUUUUCUUCAGAGGCAGGGUCUCACUGUGUUACUUAGGGCCUUGCUUUUUGUUGAGACUGGCUUUGAACUUGCAGUCCUCUUGCCUCAUCCCCUCAAGCUGCUGAGAUUACAGUUGUAUGCCACAGUGUCUGGCAGAGCUGCUAUCUUCCCCCAUCCCUUGUUGUGUGUUAGCAUCUGCAUAUCAGAGAGAAUAGUUGGCCUUUUGUUUUUUUGAGAUUGUCUUAUUAUUUCACUUAGCAUAAUACUCUCCAUUACCAUCCAUUUGCCAGCAAAUGCCAUAACUUCUUUCUUCUUUAUGGCUGAGUAUUAUUCCAUUGUGAAUAUUUGACCAUAUUUUCUUUAUCCAUUCCUCUGUUGAAGGGGACCUGUGUUGGUUACAUAGAUUAGUUAUUGUAAAUUGAGUCGCUAUAAACAUUGAUGUGGGUGGGCAUGGUGGCAAAUGCCUGUAAUCCCAGUAGCUGGGGAGACUGAGACAGGAGGAUCGAAGGUUCAAAGCCAGUCUCAGCAGCGAGAUGCUAAGCUACUCAGUGAGCCUCUGUAAAUAAAAUAAAAAAUAGGGCUGGGAAUGCUGCUCAGUGGUUGAAUGCCCCUGAGUUCAUUCCCAGGCACCCCCCAUGCUGCCAAAGAAAAUAAAUAAUUGAUGUGGCUGCAUCACUGUAGUAUGCCGAUUUUAAGUCCUUUGGGUAUAAAUGGAGAAGUGGGAUAGCUGGUUCAAAUGGUGGUUUCAUUCCAAGUUUUCUGAAGAAUUUCCAGUACUGCUUUCCUGAGUGGUUGCACCAAUUUGCAGUCCCACCAUGUAUUUCUGUAGUCAUCCUCACUUCCCAUCCCCAUCCUCACUGAUUUUUUUUUUGAGUUGCUGCAGUUAUAUCUUUUCAAGAAAGUGACGUAAGUGGAAUGAUACAUCAUGUGGGCACUUUGAGUCUGGAAUCCUUUUUUUAGUUUAAGGAUUUGAAUUUAUGCUGCCACUAUAUUUACAGUUCAUUCCUUUGUGUUGCUCCAUGGUAUCCCAUUGGAUGGUUUACCACCUUUUUUUUUUUUUUUUGGUGCUGGGGAUUGAACCCACGGCCUUGUGUAUGCAAGACAAGCACUCUACCAACUGAGCUAUAUGUCAUCCCCAGCCCCUUUACCACAUUUUACUUAACCCAUUUCUUAGUUGAAGGUCAAUUUGGUUGUUUCUUCCUCUUGGCUGUUAUCAGUAAUGCUGCUCAGAAUAUUUGCAUGACAGAUUUUGUGUGGAUGCCCAGUUUCAUUAUUCUUAGGGAGUGAAAUUGCUAGGUUUUGUGUUAAUUUCUGUUGAAUUUUUUAGGAAUCAGCCAAACCAUUUUCCAAAGUAGCUUUAUCAUCUUAGAUUCAAGUUUUGUUUUUUUUUCCCCUCUAUCUAGCAAUUUUUUAAAAUCUACUUUGGUGUCGAUGUAGGCAAUCUAACCCUCCCACUCACUUUAAAAGCAUUUUUUUUUUUUUUUGCUUUUCUUGGUGCAUUAUAAAUAUGCCUAAUAUUGGAAUUUAUUAUGUCAUUUUUGUACAUGUAUGUAAUUUGAUCAGUCUCAUUCCCUAGUACCUUCUUUUCCCCUAUUCUCCUUUCUCUCCCAUUCACUUGCUCUACUCUACUGAUAUCCUUUCUAUUAUUAUUUUAAUCCUAUGUAUAUACAUGUGUAUGCAGAAUUCACUGUAGUGUGUUCAUACAUGGACACAGCAUAAUUUUGGUAGAUUUCAUUUCCUAGUACUUCCCCAUACCCCCCCUCUCCUCCCUCCCUCUUGAUCCUUUUCCUCUCCUCCAUUGGUCUUCCAUUUAUUUUCAUGAGAUAUCACCCCCUUUUAUUUAUUUCUUUAAAAAAAGAAAAAGCAAAAAAUUUCUGUAGCUUCAGCCUAGUUGGAUCUUAGUUUUUUUUUCCUAUGUCAUCUAAUGAUCCUCCACCUUUUAUUUGAUAUGCGUAGACCAUGAACAUCUAAUGUAAUUAUUGAUAUGUUUCAGUUAACCAUCAAAUUAUCCUUUUAGUAUUCCCUUUUAUUGUUAUUAGAAUUAAAUAGCAAUUGAUAUGAAAUUUAAGAUCCUUACAAUGGUUUUCCGUUUACCCCCUCUUGAUCUGUAUGCUAGUCUUUUCAUAUACAUUUUACUUUUCCAUAGGUUAUAUAUUUCAUGGAACAUCAUCAAUGCUUUUGCUUUAAACAUUUCUUUUUCUUUUCCUGUGCUAGGAUGGAAUCCCUAGGGUCUAUUUAACAUGGAGCUGUAUUUCCAGUCCUUUUUGUUUUGUUUUGAGAUAGGGUCUUGCUAAAUUGCCAGGCUGGCCUUGACAUUGCAGUCCUCCUGCUUUAGCUCCCUGGAUAGCUGGGAUUACAUGUGUGUGCCACCAAGCCCUGAUGAACUUUUUUUUUUUUUUUUUUUUAAUUAUAGUUGUAGAUGGACAGAAUGCCUUUAUUUUAUUUGUUUUUAAUGUGGUGCUAAGGAUUGAACCCAGUGCCUCAUGCAUGCUAGGCAAGCACUCUACACUGAGCUACAGCCCCAGCCCAACUUUUUUUUUUUUUAAGAAAUUUUAAAAGAAGGGAAGUCUUAUUUUCACUUACAUACUUGCCUUUUGUGGUGGUGUUCAUUCCUUAGGAAGUGUCCAUUUGUUAUUUUCCUUAAGAACUUUAUUUAACAUUUCUUGUAGUGCAGGUCUGUUGUGCCGUAUUCUCUCAGCUUUUCUUAGUAUGAAAAGUCUUUAUUUUGCCCUAAAGGAUAUUUUUACUAGAAACAGAAUUUUAAGUUGAAAGGUUAUCCAUCCCCACCAUCCCCAAACAUUUUAAGGCGCUAAUUCUUUGUCUUCUGGUUUGCAUAAUUUGAGAUAAGUCUAUGGUGAUGCUUAUCUUUGUUUCACUUUUUGUGUGGUUAUUUAUUAUUAUUUUAAUAUUGUUUAGUUGUCAAUGGAUCUUUAUUUAUUUAUUUAUUUAUUUAUUUAUUUAUUUAUUUAUUUAUAUGGUGCUGAGAAUCAAGCCAAUUGCCACGUCCGUGCAAUGAGCCACAACCCCAGUUUGUUUUGAGAAAUGGUCUGUGUUGGUCUGUGUUACCCAACCUGGUCUAAGUCUCCUGGGUUCAAGAUUUCCCAUGGUUAAAAUUUAUUUUCUGUUCAACAGUUUGAUAAUUUGCUUUGCAUGUACUUUGGUUAGCUUCUUAGAUCUGUAGUUCAGAUUUGAAAUUUGAAUUUUCAGCUAUUAUUUUUUGAAAAAAAAAAAUUCUGGAUUCCUAGUAACAUGCAUUUUGCCCACUUUAUUUUUCCCCUUAAGUUCUGAAUUUUUCCUUGUGUUUUAUUUUGGAUAUUUUCUGUUGCAAUUCUAAAUUUACCUUACCUUUUUUUCUUUAGGGUCUAAUUUUUGUUAAUCUCAUCUUUUGAUGUUUUCAUUAUAUGCAUCAUAUUUAUCUUUGGAAGUUCCUCAUUCCUUAUUUUAUACCAUGCAUUCUCUUUAUAUUUUCCUUUAAUCCUUAAUCAUCAAGUAUGUUUAUAGGAGCUGUUUUAAAUCUCUGUCCUUUAAUUAUACCUCCUAUGACAUGUUUGGGUCUGUUUCUAUUGACUGAUUAUUCUCCUGCUUAUAAAUCACAUUUUCUUGGCAUUUUGGCAUAUCCAGUUUUUCUUGGAUGCUGAACAAUAUGAGUUUUACAUUUUUGGGUGCUGUGAUUGAUUUUCCUUUCAAGACUGUUGAGUUUUAUUUUGGCAGUUUACUCAUAAAUUAGUUUAUUCCUUUUUGCGGGGGCAGUAACAGAGAUUGAACUCAGGGGCAUUCAACCAUUGAGCCACAUCCCCACCCCAAUUUUGUAUUUUGUUAGAUAUAGGGUCUUACUGAGUUGCUUAGCGCCUCGCCAUUGCUGAGGCUGGCUUUGAACUCACGAUCCUCCUGCCUCAGCCUCCUCCCAAGCCAUUGGUAUUACAGGCAUGCGCCACUGUUCCCAGCUUAGUUUAUUCUUGCUUUUAAGUUUUGUUAAGGCAGGUCUGGAGAAUAGGCUAAUUGUAAUUCUAAGGUUUUUCCAUUCUGGGAUCUCUGUCAAAUGUCCUGGAUUUUCAGUUUCUCCACUCUUGUUGGUCUCAGCUUUAUGUCUCAUAGACUUUUGUUUGCUAUGGAAAAUUUCUGGCCAUUCACUUACCCAGCCUUGUAGAGUUUGGCCUUAUACAUACAGAGACUUCAUGCUGAUUUCUGGAGGUCCUUUUCUGCAUAGCUUUCUCCUCUUUUGAAUUGUCAGCCUCAGUAUCUGUCUCAGCUCAGGAAAAGCACUAAGCUCUGCUUGUGGUGCCCCAUUCUUCUUUGUAGCCUGGAUUGUGCCUCCAGGCAGAAAACUGGGGAAAUUGUAGAAUUCUUUAUCUUCUCUUCAGGAUCACAGUCUUCUGCUGCCUGUUUAUAAUAUUGGAAACAGUUGUUUUGGAGCUGGAUUUGUAGCUUAUGGUAGAGUGCUUUCUUGCCUAGCAUAUAUGAGGCACUGGGUUCGGUUCACAGCACAUAUAAACAAAAAUAAGGGUCCAUCGGCAACUUUAAAAAAAAAAUAUAUAUAUAUAUUUAAAAAACCAGUUUUUUGAUGUAUUUUUUUCCAUUUCUUAGUUGUUUAUAGUAGGAGAGUAAAUUUGGCAACUACUUAUUAGUCUGUUACGAACAUUUCUGCAUGUGUGUGUAAUAUUUCAUGAACUCUUACUGAUAAUUCCAGUUCUUUUUUAAAAAAAUAUUUUUAGGGGUUGGGGUUGUGGCUCAGCGGUAGAGUGCUUGCCUAGCAUGUGUGAGGCCCUGGGUUUGAUCCUAAGCACCACAUAAAAAUAGAUAAAAAUAAAGAGCUAAAAUAUUUUUUAAAAUUUAUAAUUUUAGUUGUAGGUGGGCACAAUACCUUUAUUUAUUUUUAUGUGAUGUUGAGGAUCGAACCCAGUGCCACACAUGUUCAAGGUGAGCAUUCUACCACUGAGCCACAACCCAGCCUUGAUAAUUCCAAGGGUUUUUGUUUUUGUUUUGAGGUACUGAGGAUUAUACCCAGAGCCUUGUGCAUGCUACCUCUGAACUACAUCCUUAGCUCUUUGAGAUGGAGUCUUGCUAAGUUGCCCAGGCUAGCCUCAAACCUGCCAUCUUUCUGCCUCAGCAAACGCCCCCAACCAAGCUGGGAUUACAGGUGUGCACCACUGUGUCUGGCUAGACUCUAGGGAUUUUACUUGACGUCUUUUGUCUUACAUGUGUGUAUGUCUCUUCUCUAUGAGGAACUUCUGGUUUCCGUCAAGACCACAUAAUUACUCAUUUACUUUUUCCAGCAAUACACAACAAUCUUAGAAAACCAAUACUAGUACUAUCACUUGAUUACCUUAAGUGUUUUUGUUCUUAUUAGCCUAAGGGUUUAUCUCACUAGGAAUUUUACAAGUUACUUUAAAAUCACUAGAAAAAAUAUGGUUAUACAUCUACUUGAUUGAAGCACAGCUUGAUUCAUUUACUUUUUAAAAAGGCAUUGCUUUCAUAAAUGUUAAUUUUGCUUUAUAAUUGUACAUGAGGUUUAUUCAAUGAAGUCAGCUCAUGCAAUUCCUUCCCCUAUUUAGUUUUCUUAUGGAUAAUCUUAUUUAUUUUUUAUAUUUUUCUUUUUAAAAGUAUAAAAAAUAGCAUUUGUAUCUUUUUUUUUUAGAGUGACAUCAUAGACACAUUUCCCACUUUACUUUUUAACUUAACAUCUCUAGGACAUCACUUCAUAACAAUAAGUAGAGAUUGUUCAUAGUGGCAAAGUACAGCAUUUUUUGUUUACUACUGUUCUUUCUUCAUCAGAAUAUGAUCCAUAGGCCAGUGUUCGUGAACUAUCUUUCCUGAUUGUGAUAAGUGUAGAAAUUGGGAAUAAAUAUUUAGAAACUUUUAUAGCAAUUUGACACUGCCAGAGCACAAUCUAUGAAAUCAGCAGUUCUAGCUUAGGCUUUUUAAGUGAGCCAGGUGCAGUAGGACCAUAUAUUGGUCUUGGAUAAACUGGGAAAAAAGCCCCAAAUUGAUUCUUUACCCCAGUUAGAUUGGGAAAGGACUGUGUUUAUCCUGUAUUCCUACUGGUAGACACAACCCCAUAAAUUUUACCAUUUAUUAUUUAAUUUUUCAUUUUGUGGUGCUGGGGAUUAAAUCAAUAUAUGAUUUUUAUAUUUUUUUGAAUCCUAAGUAUUUUGAAAUUUUUAAUUCAUGAAUUAAAGUGUAUUGGCAGGGAGGGGGCACACCAGGGAAUCAAACCCAGGGACACUCUACUACUGAGUUAUAUCACUAGACCUUUUUAUUUUAAGAUAGGGUCUCAAUAAGUUACCCAUGCUGGCCUUGAGCUUGAUCCUCCUGUCUCAGCCUCCCAAGUAACUGGGGUUAUAGGGGUGUGCCACUGCACCCAGCUACUUUUGCAGUUUUAAAUUUCCCAAAGCUAGGCAUUAACCAAAAAGUUUUAUAGUAGUUAUUACAAUUUUCUUUCUUUUCCAUGGCUUUUUACAUCCCAUUCCUGUGUUCUGUGCUGAAUUUCUUUCAAAUAUUAAUAAAUAUCAUUUGUAAAUUUCUUUCAGUAAAGUUCUGUGGGUAACAUUGUAUUUUGAAUAUCUUAAGGCCUUGAUUUUGUCUUUGCUGUCUGGGACUUUUUUAGCUGUGAUGACAUUUCAACUAUUUAGUGAUUUUUAAUUGAUGGUAGUUUUUUUUUUUUAAUUCAAGGAUGUCAUUCUUUUGUUUUCUAACAUCUGUUUUUGCUUUUGAGAAGUAGGCUAACAGUUUUUAUGGUAACUUUUCUUCUUUGGUUGCUUUUAAUUUUUUUUUUUUUUUUUUUUUUUUUAAAUAAUGACUGUGCAUUGUUGCUACAGUGUAUGUUUGAGUAGGUCACCAUGCAGUCUGAACCCUUGUGCCUUCAGUUUUAGCCAACAUAGCUUUCCUGCCCCCACCUUUAAAUUUUUAGUUGUAGAUAGACUCAAUACCUUUAUUUUGUUUAUUAGCUUUAUGUGGUGCUGAGGAUUGAACCCAGUGCUUCACACAUGCUAAGCAAGUGCUCUACACUGAACCACAAAACCCAGCCCCCUGGUUCCUCUUUUGACAUUUAUAUUUUUGCAUGUUAAAAUUUCUCACUCUGAGUUGGAGAUGUAGCUUGGUGGUAGAAUUUUUGCCUAGCAUGCUCAGGGCCCUGGGUUCAAUCCCAGCACUGGAGAAAAAACAAAAUUUGAAAUUUCUCCUUCUGACCUAGGUGUGGUGGGUGGUGGCACAGCUUCUCGGGAGGCUGAGAUAUGAGGAUUGCAAAGUUCCAGGCCAGCUUGGGCAACUUAACAAGACUCAGUCUUAAAAUUAGAAAAAAAAAAAAAAUUUUUUUUUUAAAGGGUUGGGGAUGUAGCCCAGUGGUAGAGCACUCACUUGCCUAGGUUGUGGGAGGCCCUCUGUUCAGUCCUCAGUACCACUAAGAACAACUGUUCACUCUCUUAUACUUUUCAUAUUUUCCAUCCCUUUACUUUUUUGUGUUUCAUUCUGUUAGAUUUUUUUUUUCAGACCAAUAAUACAAUCUACUAACUCCUCAGGUUUGACUGAACGUUCCAGGUUAUCACUUUAAAAAAAAAAAAAUUUGUUGUUGUUGUAGAUAGGUCUUUAUUUGCUUAUUUUUAUGUGGUGCUAAGGAUUAACCCAUUGCCUUACACAUUGUAGGCAAGCGCUGUCACUGAGCUAUAGCCCUAGCCCUAACUUUUUUAUUUCUAGAUUUUCUGAUUAUUUUUGAAAAUUGUUCAUUAUUUAUUUCUGUUGUGGCUUUUAUUUAUUUUUUUUUAACUUCUGCAUGUUUUAAGCACAGUUAUUUUAAAACCUCUUUAUUGUUCUGCCUAGAUCUCUAAGUUUGCCUGUUUUGUGCAGUGAGCCCACUCUACCUUUGUUGGUUCAUUUCUUUAUGUAGUUUGCAAUUGUGAUUUAAAUGUUUAUCAUCAGUGGGAUUCAUUUAAAAAACAUUUUUUUUGUAGUUGUAUAUGGACAGAAUGCCUUUAUUUUAUUUAUUUUAUGUGGUGCUAAGGAUCGAACCCAGUGCCUCACACUUGCUAGGCAAGCGCUCUGCCACUGAGCUACAGCCCCAGCCCAUUGGGAUUCAUUUUUAAAAUUUUAAAAAAUUUUUAGUUUUUAAAUUUAUGAUUAUUUUUUUUUAGUUUUCAAUGGCCUUAUUUAUUUAUAUAUGUGGUGCUGGAAAUCGAAUCCAGUGCCUCACACACGCUAGGCAAGUACUCUAUUACUAAGCCUCAGCCCCAGUCCGUGGGAUUCAUUUUUUUUUUUUUUUUUUUGUGAGUCAUAGUGUAGAGGUAUCCCUCUAGGGAAUACCUAGAGUGUUUUGAAUUUCAGCUGAACCCAGCAGGUUUCUUUAGAGCCACACUUGUCUGAUAGGCUAAUUUGACAUUGGGUUUCUGAACCAUUUGGAUAGUGUGAUUCUGGAACCCAUACCUGUGAUAGGGAAUUUUGUUUUUUCAGAGGUGACUUUUUCACUCUGAUUUCUGGCAAACAGUAAAUUUCUUUUCCAUGGAUUGGAGGUUGAAAUUCAUUUUAUUCAACUGUGCAGUUUUGGGGGCUUUGGUAUCUUAUAUUAUCUAACUUAUUUUCAGUUUCUUUUCUCCUAGUCACCGGCAGGCAUUAAAACACCUGUCUGGAGCAGUACUUAUAUCUGGCUUUAGUUAUUUGGCUUUGAGUAAUUUCAUUGUUUCUAGCCUCAGGGCAUUUCCCUUUCUUGCUUUUGGGUUAGUUUUGUUGUAUUUUCAUUGCUUUUCUAUGUACUUGGGUUUGAAGCAAGUGUUUUUCUGUGUCACCACACCUAUCUUUUGUAUUUAGUGGAAGAUCUAUGACACUUACAUUUUGUAAAACAGGUAUAAUUCGCUAAAACAGAAGUUUCUGAGUUUUAUCCGACUCGUGGUGUGGAUGAUAUAGCUGUGUAUAGCUGAGGUUGUUUUAACUUACCCAUAAAGCACUGUGUAAGGCUGCAAGGGUGUAUUUGUUUAUAUCAUCAAUGAAUCCUUUGCAACUUGAUGGAUCACAGUGUCUUUGAUUGCCUUGUUCUUUAGCACAGUUCUUUCUCAUCAGCAGUUAUUGUGAGAAAGGAGCUCCCUUUGAGAAUCACUGCAAUGGCUCACUGUUGCUCCCACAGGAGUUUGAAUAUAUCUUAGGAUAGAGAAAUGAUUUCCCCAUCUUAUAGUGAUCUAAUUCUCACCUAUGCUGGCUGAAUGGGCAGAUGCCCAAAUCUAUGUCUCUAAUUCAAGAACACUAGAUCUGCAUAUUGAAUAGGACAUUUCCGUUCAAAGAUUCUGCUGGUGUUUCAAAUUCAUCUUGUAUUUUCUCAAUGCUGUAAGUCAGUCUUCCGCUCAUGUUCUGUUUCUGUCUAUGCCAUCACUCUCUUCUCAGCAACCAAAUUAUUCUUCAUUUCUUCACUUCUUUUUCUUUUCAUAUAUGCACGCAGCUAUUAAUCAAGCCAGUUUUUUCUCAUAGUGUUUUAGCUUUCCAUCACAGUGACAAAGUUGAAUUAAUGAGCCUAUAGAGAGAAGAGGUCUGUUUUGGUUCAAAAUUUUGGAGGUUUUCAGUCCAGGAUUGGUUGGCCUUAUCACUUUGGUUUGUGGUGAGUUGGCUCAUCUUGGUGGGAACAUGUGGUGGAGCAAAAUUGCCGACCUCCUUGCCCUUAUGCAAAAAGAGUAAGGGACCAGGAUCCCAUAGUCCCCUUCUAGGAAGUGCCACUGAUGGCCUAAAACCUCCCAUGAGGCCCCCACCUUUUCUUACGAUGCCUUAGUAAUACUGAGCUGGGGACCAAACCCUGUAAUGCAUGUGCCCUUGGGGGACAUUUCUGAUAUAAACUAGAGUAUAUAGUAAUUCUGUUUUUCUCUUUUCAUGACAGUAUCAGGGUGAUAUAUCCCAUGUAAAAAUCUUUCUUGAUUUCUCCUAAUAUUUUUCUUGGGAUAAAGAGACUGUCACAUGGUCUCUCAGUUCAGACUGAGUGAGACCUUACCUUCUUAUCCUCCUUUCUCAUCCUAAAUUUUGAUUUUACAAAAUGUCCUGUUGGUGGCUUUUGGGGGAUAUUUUUCUUUAGGCAUAAUAGGGCAUAAUUAAAAUAAGAACCAGAAAUGUAUGUACCAUUUUUGUUCUGUUUUGAAUGAGAUAGUAUAUCAUUAUGAAAUUGUAUGUAUGAUGGUCACAAGUUAGGGGGUGGCAUAUGGUUGGCUGAUUUGGGUGUUAGUCAUUAACUGACAAUAUGACUUUAAUAAAUUACUGCUACCUCUAGGUAGGCUUGGAUUUCAUCAUCUAUAAAAUGAGAGGUUGAGUUAGGUGAUUUUUUUUUUUUAAUUGUUAAUAGACCUUUAUUUAUAUGCAGUGCUGAGAAUCGAACCCAGUGCCUCACACAUGCUAGGCAAGCACUCUACAACCCCAGCCUAGAAUUAAGUGAUUUUUUUAUAGUUAAUAUUUUUUGAACUCUUUAAUUUGUUCAAGAAACUGGGCUAAUGACUUUUUAUAUAUUGUCAUUUAAAAAAAUUUAUUUGAAAUUAAUUCCAAACUCUGAAAAGUACAAAAAACUUCAUAUUCCAUUCAUCCAGAUCAAUUUCUUUAUAACAUUUAACUUUUGUUAGGAUUGGAUAUUAAAAAUUUUCAAAUGCUUUUUCCAUAGCUGCUUGGACUAAUAUAUGAUUUUUUUUUUUGUGUAGUCUGAAUAUUUAAAUUGUAUUUCUGGGAUAAAGCUCUCUUGGUCAUGAUCUGUUGUCCUUUUAUAUAUUAUUGGAUUUGAUUUGUCAAAAUUUAUUAACAAUUUGCUGGGUGUGGUGGUGCAUGCCUGUAAUCCCAGCAGCUCAGGAGGCUGAGGCGCGAGAAUUGGGAGUUCAAAGUCAGCCUCAGCAAAAGCGAGGUGCUAAGCAACUCUGUGAGACCCUGUCUCUAAGUAAAUACAAAAUAGGGCUGGGGAUGUGGCUCAGUAGUCAAGCGCCCCUGAGUUCAGUCCUUGGUACAAAAAAAGAAAAAAUAUAUAUAUUAACAAUUUAUUAACAGUUUCUGCAUCUAUGUUUAUAAGGCAUAUUAAUAUUAGUCUGUAAUUUUCUGGUAAUAUAUUUGUCUGCUUUUCAUAUAAUAAUAAUAAUGGUGUCCUUGUAGAAUGAAUUGAGAAGUUUUUCCUCUUUUUAAAUUUUCUGAAAGGCUUUGUAUAGAAUUGAUAUUAUUGGUUCCUUAAUUUGGUGGAAUUCAUCAGUGGAGCCAUCUCAGCUUAGAGAUCUUUAAUUAUGAAUUCAAUUUUUUUCCCAAAAUAGAGCUAUUUAAAUUAUCUGUUUUUCCUCUCCCUCCUUCAUGCUUUACUUCUGAACUGUCAUCCCAGCCCUUGAUUUUGAGACAAGAGUGCUUCUAAGUUGCUGAAGCUGGCCCUGAACUCACAAUUUUCUUGUUUUAGUCUCCUCAGUCACUGGGAUUACAGGGCUUUCCACUGCAGCUGUCAGUUUCUCUUCUUAAAUGAGCUUCCAUGUCCUUUAAGGAUUUUGUCCAUUUCACCUAAAUUGUUGAAAUUAUUGAUAAGGGUAUUCCUAAAUAUAUCUGGAACUGUCGUUGUCUCCACUGCUUUCCUGAUGUUGGUAGUUUGUCUUUGUAUCUGAUUAGUCUGACUAAAGGUCUGUUAAUUUUAGUUGUAUUCACAAAAACCAGAUGUUGAUUUUAUUUGUUUUCUGUUCCAUCGAUUUUUGCUCUUUCAUAAUUUUUCCUUGAUUUGGAUUUAAUUUGCUCCCUUCUCUUUCCCAUUGUUUCAUGAUGGAAGCUUAAGGUCAUUUAUUUGCCAUCUUUCCUUUUUUGGAAGGAAGACUUUUAAUGCAUAUGACAUUUUGAUAUAUUGUGCUUUAAUUUUCAUUCAGUUCAAAAUAUCUAAUUUUUGUUUUUAUUUCUUCUUUAACGUGUUUAAAAUUGUGGUUAGUUGUUUCCUACUAUUGGGGAAUAUCCAAAGAUCUUUUGUUAGGGAUUUCUAUUUCCACGUGAUAUGUACCGUAUAUUGUAUAUUUUGAAUCCUUUAGAGUUUAUUGUUUGGGGCUGGGGAUAUAGCUCAGUUGGUAGAGCGCUUGCCUCUCAUGUAUGAGGCCCUGGGUUCAAUCCCCAGCACCCCCCCCCCAAAAAAAAAAAAAAGAAUUUAUUGUUUUAUGGCUAAGAAUAAGGUAGUUCUUGAUAAAUGUCCCAUGGGUACUUGAAUAUGUAUUCUGAUGUUAGGUGGGGUGUUCUGCAAAUGUUUAUUAGCUUAUUGGUUGGAAAUGUUCAGGUCUUUUGUGUUCUUACAGAUUUUCUAUCUGUUCUAUCAAUUACAAAGGGGAUGUUGAAAUUUCACUGUGAAUUUGUCUAUUCUUUCAGUGUUGUCAGUUUUUGCUCAUGAAUUUUGAAACUCACUUAUAAAGUACAUUAUAGGAUUGUCCUCUUCAAGAAUUGUCAUUUUGAAACAACCUUCUUCAUCUCUGGUAAUAGUAUUUUAUCCAAAAUAUAUUUUGUCUCCUAAUCAUAGCCCCUCUGGCUUUUAUUCAAUUAGAGUUUGCUUGGUAUUAUGUUUUUACUUACAACCUGUGUCUUUAUAUUUAAGGUGAGGAUUUUACAGUCAUCACAUAAUUGGUUCUUGUUUUUUCCAAUUUAACAAUUUCUGCCUUUAACUAUUUUUUUAGUUGUAGAUGGAUACAAUAUCUUUAUUAUUCUUUUUUUAUUUGUUUAUUUUUACGUGGUGCUAGGGACUGAACCCAGGGCCUCACGCAUGCGAGGCAAGUGCUCUACCACUCAGCUACAACCCUAGCCCCUGAAUAUUGAUAUUAUAAGAGUUUAAAUCUAUCCUCAUUAGUUUUCUUUUUUUGUCUUGUCUGUUCUUUGUUCCUGUUUUCUUUUCUCCUUUUUUUCUGGAUUGAGGAUUUUGUUAUGGUCUCAUUUUCAACUCUGUUUUGGGUUCAUUAGCUUGUACUUGUUUUAGUGAUUGCUUUAGUGUUGGAUACAAGUUAAAUAACUUGUCACAGUCUACCUUUAAUGUUACACUACUUCACCUGUAUUACAAGAUCUUACAGCAGUGUACUUUAUUCUCCCCUCCUCAGUUCGUUAUUUUUGUCAUACACAUCUCUUCUAUGAAUAUUGUAAACUUCACAAUGCAUUAUUGUUAUUUUUUAUUUAAACAGUGAUUUUUUUUUUUAAUUUUUUUUUUUUAUGGGCCCGAGAAUUGAACCCAGGGCUUGUACAUGCUAGGCAAGUGCUGUAUCACUGGGGCUGGCUACACUACCAGCCUCAGUGAUUAUCUUUAAAAGGACUUUAAAAAUAAGAAAAAAAGUGUUUUAUGUUUGCCCACAUAUUUCUCAUUUCCAAUGUUGUUCAUUGCUGCAUAGAUCCAGGUUCCCUUCUGGUAUCAUUUUUCUGUCAGAGAACUUCCUUUAAUGUUUAUUGCAGUGCAGGUCUACUGGUGAUGAUGGUAUUGUUAAGUUUUGUAUGUUUGAAAAAGUACUUCCCUUUCUUUUUAGAAAGAUAUUUUCACUUGAUACAGAUUCUGGGUUGAGUCUUUUUCCUUGUACUUUAGAAAUGUUUCUCCAUUGUGUCUGAGUUGCAUUAUCUCUAGUGAAAAAUCUAUCAUUUUAAUUAUUCUGAGUAAGUGAUGUAUCUUUUUUGCUUCUCUGAUUCAUUUUAAGAUUUUCUUUUUAUCAUUGCUCACCAGCAGUUGAUACCUGGAUUUUGUCAUGUCAAGCUUCUUGGAUCAUAUUUGGCAAAUAUUCAGCUGUUACUCAUGAGAAAUAUUUCUCCUAUACUUUUCCACUCCACCCCAUCUGGAGACUGUAAUUACAUGUCUAUGUGGCUGCUUUAAAUUGUCCCAAAACUCACUUAUAUGCUGUUCAUAUUUUUUCUAUUUUUUGCUUGCUUUGUUUUGGGAAGUUUCUAUUGAUACAUCCUUAAGUUCAUUAAUCUUUUUCUUUGCAGUGUUUUUGUGUUACUAGUUAUUGAAUCUGGGGGACUUUUGCUUCUAAGUUACAUCCCCUGUCCUUUUUAUUUUUUAUUUUGAGACAAGGUCUUACUAAGUUUCUGAGGCUUACCUCAAACUUGUUAUCCUCCUGCCUCAGCUUCCCAAAUAGCUGGGAUUACAAGCAUGUGCUGCCACACCAGAUUUAAAACUGCUGUUCAUUCCAUCCAGACAUUGAAUAUUUUUAAUCUCUUGAAGUUUAGUUUGGGUAUUAGAAGGUUUUUUUUGUUUUUAAUUCUUACAUGCCUCUACUAAUACGCUCAAUAUUGAACACAUGAAAUAAAGUUAUAACAACUGUAUUCACAUUAUUUUCUACUAAUUGUAUAAUUUUUUUGUGUGUGUGUAGCUGGGGAUUGAAUCCAGGGCCUUGUGCACUCUACUGACUGAGCUGUAUUCCUGGCCCUAAUUGUAUCAUUUUGUAGUCUGUUUCUAUAUGUUUUUUUCCUUUCCUUUAUGGGUCAGAUUUUCCUGGUUCCUUGCAUUCCUAAUAAUUCUUCUUCUUCUUCUUUUUUUUUUUUUUUUUUUUUUUUAAGAGGAGAGAGAGAGAGAGAAUUUUUUUUUUUUUUAAUAUUUAUUUUUCAGUUCUCGGCAGACACAACAUCUUUGUUUGUAUGUGGUGCUGAGGAUCGAACCCGGGCCGCACGCAUGCCAGGCGAGCGUGCUACCGCUUGAGCCACAUCCCCAGCCCCCUAAUAAUUCUUGACUGGAAGACAGAUACUGUGAAUUUUACUUUGGGUCCUCUAUAUUUUUUUUAUUACUGGUAGUAUUUUUGAGUUUUUUCUGGAAUGUGCAUAAGUUAGUUGGAAACAUCCUUUGAGGCUCCCGUCCCCCUUUUUGUUUUUUAGGCAAGAUCUUGUUAAGUUGCUGAGGCUGGCCUUGAACUUGCUAUCUUCCUGCAUUGGUGGGAUUACAGGCAUGCACCACCAUGCCCAAUUUGAGUCUUCCUUUUACACUUUGUUGAGGUUUAUCUUUUCUGUGUUUAUUUUUCUAAGGCUAUGUGGAUAUGUUAUUUCCUUUUCUUUCUUUUAUAAAAGUAGUCUGUGAAGUUUUUUUUUUUUAAUUGUCAAUGGACCUUUAUCUUAUUUAUUAACUUAUUUGUGGUGCUAAGAAUUGAAUCUAGUGCCUCACAUAUGCAUUUGUACUUAAUAGCUGUCCUAAGCAACUCAGUGAGACCCUGUCUCUAAAUAAAAUACAAAAUAGAGCUGAGGAUGUGGCUCAGUGGUCGAGUGCCCCCGAGUUCAAUCCCUGGUGUCUGUUCCCCCCAAAAAUUACUCCCUUAAUGGUACUUAAAAUUUUUUUUUGAGGGUUUGGGAUUGUGGCUCAGUGGUAGAGUGCCCACCUAGCACGUGCAAGACCCUGGGUUUGAUCCUCAGCACCACAUAAAAAUAAAUAAAUAAAGGUAUUGUGUCCAACUACAACUAAAAAAAUAAAUAUUUUAAAAAAAUUUUUUGAACUCAAAUCCACAGCCUCUUUUUAUUGAUACAUUAUAUCACAUAACUACAAAUAUAGGUGAACAUAUGUUGUUUUACAUAUCCAUUGUGAAAUAUACCCUAAAAUAGAAUUUUUUAAAUAUUAAGAAAUUGUACUAUAUUUUAAAAAUUACUAGAUAAUAUUUGGCUAAAAUUAUUACAUGAUAGUGGAUAUACUGUAUUUCAGUAGGCUUAUCUAAUUUUGAAUGAUUUGGACUACCUCCUUUCAGAUGUGAGUUGAUCACAUCAUUGAUUUUAUGUUGGAACAUGAUUGAUGUUGACUUGGCAGCCCUAUUGGAUCCCUUCUUGUACUGUGGGAGUUCUCUUUUUUCUUACUUGAAUAAAUCCUACACUUGAAAAGAAAAAAAGUUGCUGUAAAAUUGUUAGCUCUGCUGUUUUCUUAGUGUUCCUGGUACUGGCAUUAAAUCUAGACUGCCUUUUCUUUAUGAUCAUAUCUUUAAGUCAGGUUAAAAACUAAAUUAAUAGAGCUGGAUAUAGUGGCAUGUGCCUGAAAUCCCAGCCACAUGAGUAGUGGAGGGUAGAUGAUCAUAAGUUGAAUCCCACCCUGGGCAGUAUAGUAAGACCCUGUCUCAAAAAACUAGGUAAUAAAGUUAGUUAAUGCACCUAACUGUGGCAUAUGAAAUAUACUUGGAGAAAGAUGACUGAUUUUCAGAAUACAGAAUAUGAUUUAGGAUUGACAUGGUCACCCAUACACUGAAUCAGUGUACUAAGUGAAUGGAACAUGAGUUCUUGUUUUAUCUUUGUAUUGAAAAUUCCAUUUUGCUGUUGCUGACUCCUUCAAUAGAGAUAUCUCUGCCUGAUGGUUGAGGCUCUCCUGAUAAUUCUGUGUUAUGUAUGGUUUUUUUUUUUUUUUUUAUCAGUUGGCUUUUGCUGUGUAACUUACCUUCCCAAAACUUGGAGCCUUAGAACCACUGUUAUUUUACUCAUUACGCUUUUGGCUGCAUUGGCUGUUUUCUCCAUUUGGACUGGCUCAAAUUAUUUGAGAUUAGCCGGACUGGGUUUACUAAUGAAUCUGUGGUCAGCUGGAGGCUGGAUGUGUUAGGCAGAUUUCUAAGAUGAAUCCUUUUUUGUUGUUGUUGUUUUGUUUUUUAGUUUCAAUGGGUAUUUAUUUAUUUAUAUGCACGGAGCUGAGAUUCGAACCCAGUGCCUCACACAUGCUAGGCAAGUGCUCUACCACUGAGCUACAACAUAGUUGUAGUUGCAAAACCAUCUUAGGGCUAAAAUGAUUUUGGAAAACCCCUAUGUCCUUGUAUGAUCUUUUCCCCUGGUAUGUGGAUUGACAACUGUAGUUUGCUUUACACCAGCAGGAUAUAGAAAGGUGGAGAGAUUUUGCAUAUGUGAUUAAUUAAGAUCCCCCAUUCAGUCAUGGGUAGGCCUGAACCAAUUAGGUGAGUUAAUCUAAAGUACAGAGAUGAGAGAAGUGAGCAAUUCUGCUGGCUUUGGAGAAGUUGUGAUGGAUGAGAGAACCUCACGUCAGGGUCUGGGGGUUCUUGGGAGCUGAAUGCAGGUCUUAGCUGAUAGCCAGCAAAAAGUGAUCUUAAUCCUACAACUGCAAGAAUUUGUUUCUCCCAAUAACCUUGUGAGCUUGGAGCAGGGCACUGAGUUCCAGAAAGAAAAUCAGCCCAAUUGACACCUUGAUUUGGAUUUUAUGAGACCCUGAGGAGGAGGCCCAGCUCAACUGUACCCAGACUUCUCACCCAUGGAAACUGGAGAUAAUAAAUGUGUGUUGUUUCAGCCACUAAAUUUAUGGUAACUUGUUAUGUAGCAGUAUAAAACUAGUAUACUGGGUAGUCUAGGGCACUCCUUUGACUAGCUGUUGGCUUGGAAUAGUUGGGGAAACUGCCAAAUGAGCCACACCAUCCAGCAGGCUAGCUCUUCAUGUGGUGUUUGUUGGUGAUGGUUGUAAGGUUCUCAGUAGCAGCAAGAAUGGCCAUAUCCUAAUGUUUAGGUGCUCUUCAGGUCUCUGAGUCAUAGUAGAGCAGUCAUUCUCAACCAAGAACUCUUUUGUCUCCCAGGGGCUAUCUGGCAGUAUUGCAGUUUUGGUUUUUACAACUAGGGGGUGAGGGGAUACUACUUACCAUCUAAUAGAUAUAGGCUAGGGAUGCUACUAAACAUCUUAUGAUGCACAGGACUUCUACAACAAGGAAUUGUUUGGCCUAAAAGAUGAGAGUGUCAAGGUUGAGGAAACCCUACAUUAAUCCAGUGGUCAAGUUAAGUCCCAAGAGCAGCAACAAAAUUCUCUUGGUGAGAGGGACUAUAAAUUCAUUGAGAGGAUUUCUUGUAGCCAUUCUUAUAAUCUAUCACAUGUUUACUGAUUUACAUAAAAUACUUGAAAAAUGGGUCAGAUAGUUUUUUAUUAGAUUUUAAAAAGGUUUUAUGAAUGUGUGUCAUUACUGUAAUGAAUUAUCUGAGGUAAUUUAGCUUUUAAAGAGGAAAAGUUUUGGUCUCAUAGUUUUGGUGGUUUUAGUCCAUAUUUGUUUGGCCCUAUUGCUUUUGGGCCUGUGGUAAGACAACAUUUCAUGUUAGGGAGUAUGUGGCAGAGCAGAAGACUUCACUUUAUGGCCAGGAAUUGAAAGAAUGGAAGUGAAGAGAUGGGUCUCACUAUAUUCUUAAGUGUCACCCUCAACCCAGUGACCAGAGGUCUUCCCAGUAGGUCCACUUUUCAGUAUCUUUCUCUCCCAAUGGUGCUAAGCUGGGGAUGCACAUGGGCCUUGGGGGCCGGGGGUAGGCAUUUCAUAUCCAAACUAAAACAAACAGCAAACAAAACCCAUAGAAAUUAAUAUAACAGAUCCGGUGGACUCACUACCCAGAGUUGAGAGUGAUGGAUAUAUUUUCUCAUGUCUUUAAUUCUAAUUUGAUUUUUAAAAACCAUUCAGAAGGUUGGCAUAGUUGCACAAACCUGAAAUGCCAGCUACUUGGGUGGCUGAAGCAGAAAUCAAAAGUUUAAGGCCCUGGGCAACUUGGCAAGACCCUGUCUUAAUAAAAAACAAUAAGGGUGGGGCCUGGGGUUGUGGUUCAGUGGUAGAGUGCUUGCUUAGCAUGUGUGAGUCACUGGGUUUGUUUCUCAGCACCACAAAUAAAUAUAAAUAUAAAUAUAUAUAUAUAUGAAUAAAAUAAAGUUCUAUCAAUGUCUAAAAAUAAAAUCACACACACACACACCAAAAAAAACCAAAAAACAGUAAGGGCUAGGGAUGCAGUUUAGUGGUAAAGUGCCCCUGGAUUCAAUCCCCAGUACUGGGGAAAAAAACAAAAAAUGACAUUAGUCCAUUUUAUUCCCUUCUCCCUAACUUAAUAUUCAUUCUUAUAUACUGCUUGCCUAUUCUUUCUCCCUCCUUUUUAGAUAGUAAAUAUUAAUUUACUUCCAUUAUACUUUGAUAUAAUUUUUCCUGGAUCUGUAUUUAUUUUUAUUUUUUUAAAAGAAGUGAAAUUGAAGUAUAAUUUACAUGUAGUAACUUUAAAGUAUACAGUGUGAUAAAUUUUGGGACAGAAGUAUACCCAUGUAAUUGCCACAUCAGGCAAGACAGCAUACAUUUAGACCACCUCAAAAGGUUUUCUUGUGUUCCUUUGCAGUCCAUGCUGCCCUUCACCCCCUUUUCUCCACAACUGUUUAUUUGUUCUCUGCACUGUAGAUUAGCUUUGCCUUUUCUAUGGUUUCAUAUAAAUGCAACCAUAUUAUAUACUUUUUCUCUGUGUAUGUUUAGUAUUUUUUUCACUCCAUGCACUGGUUUUGAGAUUGAUCCAUUGCUAUUCCAUGAAACAGUUUAUUUUUUACUACUUAGUAGGAUUUUAUUGUAUGGAAAUACCAUACUUCAUUUAUCCACACUUGUUGAAGGACAUUUGUGUUCUUCAGUUUUAGAUCACUACAAACAGAUGUUACAGAAAUACAUGUACAAGUCUUCUGGGGAUAUAUUUUCAUUUUUCCUAAAAUGAAAUGGUAGGUGUAUAUUAAAUUUUAUUUAAUUUUAUUUAAAUGUUUAUUAAACCUUUAUUACUAUAGAAGAAUUAUUAAGAUAACUGUAGUGCCAUGUUCCUGUGUACUGUUUUGUUUGUUUUGGUCGUGGUCCUGGGGAUUGAACCCAGUGGUCUUCUACACUGAACCCUUUUUCUUUUGAGGCAGGGUCUCACUAAGUUGCUGAGGCUGGCCUCAAACUUGUACUUCUUCUGCCUCAGCAUCCUGUAUUGCUGGGAUUACAGUCAUGCACCACUGUACCUGGCUUUUUAUGUAUUCUUUAUACAGCUUUCUCCAGUGUAAAUGUCUUAUAUAAUUGUGAUACAUUUAAAAUUAACAUAAGAAAUUAACAUUGAUAUAGUACUCUUAACUGUAGAAUCUUUGGAUUUCAUCAUUUUUUCUACUGUUAUUUUUCUGUUAAGCACCCAGUGCAGAUACCACUUUGCAUUCAGCUGUCUCCUUAGAUAUGAAGUAAUUUUACCAAUUGUAGCACAGUAUUUCUAAAUAGAUCUUUUUGUUUGCAGCCUUAUACUAUCCAGUCAAAACCUUUUUUUCUAAAGUUACUAUUAUGAGACUUUUGGGUCUGAUUUCUUUCACUUAACAAAAAUACAUGUAAAAUUCAUUCGUGUUGAGAGAUAUAAAAUGGAAGCUGGGCAUGAUGGCACAUGCUUGUAAUCCCAGUAACUGAUGCCAGAGGAUGACAAGUUUGAGGUUAUUCUGGGUAAUUAACAAGACUCUGUCUCAAAAUAAAAAGGGCUGUCUGGGUUCAACUCCUAGUACUAUCAAAAAAUAAUAAUAAUAAUGUAGGAGAACCUGUAUGGAGCUCGGUGAUUUAGAGUUCUCUGGCUUCAACCUCCAAUACUGCAAAAGAAAGAAAUUGAGGGGCUGAGGUUAUAGCUCAGCAGUAGAGUGCUUGCCUUGCACAUGUGAGACACUGGAUCCUUAGUACCACAUUGAAAAUAUAAAUAUAUAAAGAUAUUAUGUCCAUCUUUAAAAUUUUUUUAAAAGAAAUGUACAUAACAUAAAAUUAAUAAUUUUAAAAGUCAACAGUGAAGUGGCAUUUGAUACAUUCAUAAUAACAUGUAACCAACUCUAAUUCCUAAACUAUGUUGUUUUUUUUUUAACUCCCCAAUAGCUCCUUAAGCAUUUUCUCUCCAUUAACUUCCUUCCUUCAGCUUCUGACAAACACCAUUUUCGUUUCUGUUUCUAUGGUUUUUGCCUUGCUUUGCUUUUGAAAGAUACAUUUGCUGGAUUAAGAAUAUACAGUUAUUUUCCUUCAGAUUUUAAAGAUGUUGUGCCAGUUCUUCUCAUUCAUCCCAACAAGAAAUUUACUGUCAUCUUUAUCUUUGUUCUAUAUUUAGCAUACCUUCCCCCACCCCGCUCUUCUGGUGACUUCUCUUAAUUUCAUUAUUGGUUUUAAGCAAUUUGAUUACUAUAUGGUUUAGUGUAGUUUUCUUCGUGAUCCUUUGCUGUGGUUGAUUGACAGUUAACUUGCUUGGAAACUAUUUGACAGGUUUUGUUUGUGAGAUUUGUUAGCCAGGCACAGUGUAGUAUUUAGAUAAGGUAUGAUUUUUUUCCCCUUAUUGAGACUAGAUCUUUUUGUGAAUCUUGAGGUUAUUCUUGAGAGUUCCAGGCUGUGUGAUAAGAAUUUGAGGUCCUGAGUAGGGACUUGGCACUGUUUUCUAAUUUUUGGGGGGUGAUGGUCUCUUUUGCUUGCAUGUUAGGUAGUUUGAUCACGCUCCUGGGCUGAACAGCUGCGUACUUGAGAGAUUUCCUUUGUAACUCUGCAGUUCUCUCUGGUGUGCUGUUCUGUCCUGCAAAUUCUAGUUGCCUUAGUCUUCCUGUGUUUAGACUCCUGUCUUUUCAGCUCAGCCCAACAGCCUCCACAAGGGCUCUAUAUCCUCAGCACAGUGUCCUAGAAACUCUUCCCAUACAGUAAGAUAGGCAAUCUUAGGUCUUUUGUUUUCCUUCUCUCUUGUUUCAUUGUUUCUCAUUGCCUGAUAUGCAGUGUCUUGAAAACUAUAGUUUCAUUUCUCUUUGGCUUUUGGUUGUUUGAGGUGGGAGGGUUAAUCUGGUCCUUGCUGUUUUUCCAUUCAGAAAUAAAUUUUUUUAGGCUUACUGAAAGUUGUGAAAAUAAUUUGCUGUUUCUGUGUAUCUUUUACUCAGCUUUCCCCAUGAUAACAUCUUACAUAGCCAUAUUUAUAAUUAUCAAAACUAGGAAGUUGAUGUUGGUACAGUACUCUUAGCUAAAUUCCAUACCUAUUUUACAUUUUUACAUGUAUUCUUUUUUGGGGGGGGUUGCUGUUAGUGUAUAGUUACAUAUGUAUAAAUUUCAUUUAAUUACUAUCUCAAUCAGCAUAAAAAACUUGCAUUGUUUUGAUGAAAUUCCUUUGUACCACCCUUACUUCCAGGCCUGACCCUGGCAACUACUGAUUGCAUUAAUUUUAUUGUUUUGACUAUUAUUUUAUCCUUUCCAGAAUGUCAUGUAAAUAGAAUGAAUGAUAUAAUGUUGCCUUUUGAGAUUAGCUUUUUUUUUUUUUUUUUUUACUUAGCAUAGUAUCUUUGAGUUCUCUCCAAAUUGUGUAUAUCAACACUUUUCUGUUUUAUUGCUGAUCUAGUAUUCCAUUCCUGGGCGUAACAUAGUUUAUCUGUUUCUCCAUUGAAGGAUUUUUGAGUUGCUCCUAGUUUGGGACUAUUACAAAUCAAACUACUAUAAACAUUUGUUUAUUGGUUUUAGUGUGAAAAUAUUUUCACAAGUACAUUGUUUUCCAGAUUGGAUUCAUUUCCACUAGCAAUUAAGAGAAAUCCUGUUGUUCUUUCCUAUCAGCACUUGGCAUUGUCAAUAUCCCCCCCCCC